CCCCUAGAUGUUCUGGGCCGCACGCGCGCUACACUGACCAGUACAACAAGCAUCCGUCCUUGGCCGACAGGCUCGGGCAAUCUUUGAACGCUGGUCGUGAUGGGGAUAGACUUUUGCAAUUUUUGGUCUUCAACGAGGAAUUCCUAGUAAACGCAAGUCAUCAACUUGCAUUGAUUACGUCCCUGCCCUUUGUACACACCGCCCGUCGCACCUACCGAUUGAAUGGUCCGGUGAAGCCUCCGGAUUGGCGCGCACCUCGGUGCCGCCGAGAAGUUGGCUAAACCUUACCAUUUAGAGGAAGGUGAAGUCGUANCA
rnacentral:rRNA from 1 species